rnacentral:rRNA from 1 species
AGCGAACGCUGGCGGCAGGCCUAACACAUGCAAGUCGAACGAACUCUUCGGAGUUAGUGGCGGACGGGUGAGUAACACGUGGGAACGUGCCUUUUGGUUCGGAAUAACUCAGGGAAACUUGUGCUAAUACCGAAUGUGCCCUUCGGGGGAAAGAUUUAUCGCCAUUAGAGCGGCCCGCGUCUGAUUCGCUAGUUGGUGAGGUAACGGCUCACCAAGGCGACGAUCAGUAGCUGGUCUGAGAGGAUGACCAGCCACACUGGGACUGAGACACGGCCCAGACUCCUACGGGAGGCAGCAGUGGGGAAUCUUGCGCAAUGGGCGAAAGCCUGACGCAGCCAUGCCGCGUGAAUGAUGAAGGUCUUAGGAUUGUAAAAUUCUUUCACCGGGGACGAGAAUGACGGUACCCGGAGAAGAAGCCCCGGCUAACUUCGUG